rnacentral:rRNA from 1 species
CAGUCGCCACGGAAUACGGAGGGCGCGAGCGUUACCCGGAUUUACUGGGCGUAAAGGGCGUGUAGGCGGCCUGGGGCGUCCCAUGUGAAAGGCCACGGCUCAACCGUGGAGGAGCGUGGGAUACGCUCAGGCUAGAGGGUGGGAGAGGGUGGUGGAAUUCCCGGAGUAGCGGUGAAAUGCGCAGAUACCGGGAGGAACGCCGAUGGCGAAGGCAGCCACCUGGUCCACUUCUGACGCUGAGGCGCGAAAGCGUGGGGAGCAAACCGGAUUAGAUACCCGGGUAGUCCCUGUCUCUUAUACA